rnacentral:rRNA from 1 species
UACGUAGGGGGCAAGCGUUGUCCGGAAUCAUUGGGCGUAAAGAGCGUGUAGGCGGUCCGGUAAGUCGGCUGUGAAAGUCCAGGGCUCAACCCUGGGAUGCCGGUCGAUACUGCCCGGACUAGAGUUCGGAAGAGGCGAGUGGAAUUCCCGGUGUAGCGGUGGAAUGCGCAGAUAUCAGGAGGAACACCAAUAGCGAAGGCAGCUCGCUGGGACGGUACUGACGCUAAGGCGCGAAAGCGUGGGGAGCGAACAGGA